rnacentral:snRNA from 1 species
AUGUCUUCUUGGCCUUUUGGCUAAGAUCAAGUAUAGUAUCUGUUCUUAUCAGCUUAAUAUCUGAUAUGUCCUCUGAGGACACAAUAUUAAGCAGACUUUUGGAGAUAGGAGAUGGAAUAGAGGCUUGCUCCAACCACGCCACACAUCGACCUGGUAUUGCAGUACUACCAGGAAGGCUGUACCCCUC